rnacentral:rRNA from 1 species
AAAACUUUCAACAACGGAUCUCUUGGUUCCAGCAUCGAUGAAGAACGCAGCGAAAUGCGAAAAGUAAUGUGAAUUGCAGAAUUCCGUGAAUCAUCGAAUCUUUGAACGCACAUUGCGCCCCUAGGCAUUGCCGGAGGGCAUGCCUGUUACGAGCGUCAUUG